GACAGGCCUAACACAUGCAAGUCAGGGGCAGCACAAGGAGCAAUCUGAGGUGGCGACCGGCGCACGGGUGAGUAACACGUAUGCAACCUGCCUGUAAGCGGGGAAUAACCCGUUGAAAGACGGACUAAUACCGCAUAAUACUAAAUUACUGCAUGGUAAUUUAUUUAAACAUUUAUGGCUUACAGAUGGGCAUGCGCAUGAUUAGCUAGUUGGAGAGGUAACGGCUCCCCAAGGCAACGAUCAUUAGGGGUUCUGAGAGGAAGGUCCCCCCACACUGGUACUGAGACACGGACCAGACUCCUACGGGAGGCAGCAGUGAGGAAUAUUGGUCAAUGGACGAGAGUCUGAACCAGCCAAGUCGCGUGCAGGAAGAAUUGUCCUAUGGAUUGUAAACUGCUUUUGCAGGGGAAUAAAGUGCAUCACGUGUGAUGUUUUGUAUGUACUCUGCGAAUAAGGAUCGGCUAACUCCGUGCCAGCCGCCGC
rnacentral:rRNA from 1 species